rnacentral:rRNA from 1 species
AGUUUGAUCCUGGCUCAGAAUGAACGCCGGCGGCAUGGAUUAGGCAUGCAAGUCGAACGUGAUUCCAACCUUCGGGCUGGAUGAAAGUGGCGAAAGGGUGAGUAACACGUGAGCAACCUGCCCCCGAGCCCGGGAUAGCCCGCGGAAACGUGGAUUAAUACCGGAUGAGGUGCUGCGCUGCAUGGCGCGGUCACUAAAGUUUUUCGCUCAGGGAUGGGCUCGCGGCCCAUUAGCUUGUUGGCGAGGUAACGGCUCACCAAGGCUAUGACGGGUAGGUGGUCUGAGAGGAUGGUCACCCACACUGGGACUGAGACACUGCCCAGACUCCUACGGGAGGCUGCAGUCGAGAAUCUUCCGCAAUGGGCGCAAGCCUGACGGAGCGAUGCCGCGUGAGGGAUGAAGGCCUUCGGGUUGUAAACCUCUGUCAGAAGGGACGAAGAAUGUGACGGUACUUUCAGAGGAAGCCAUGGCUAACUACGUGCCAGCAGCCGCGGUAAUACGUAGAUGGCGAGCGUUAUUCGGAUUUACUGGGCGUAAAGGGUCCGUAGGGGGUCUGCCAAGUCCGAUGUGAAAGGUUGCGGCUCAACCGCAGCACUGCAUUGGAUACUGGCGGGCUGGAGUCUGCGAGGGGUGAGCGGAACUCCUGGUGUAGCGGUGGAAUGCGUAGAUAUCAGGAAGAACACCGAUGGCGAAGGCGGCUCACUGGCGCAGUACUGACCCUGAGGGACGAAAGCGUGGGGAGCAAACAGGAUUAGAUACCCUGGUAGUCCACGCUGUAAACGUUGUGCACUAGAUGUGGGGGGUAUUGACCCCCUCCGUGUCCAAGGCUAACCGCGAUAAGUGCCCCGCCUG